CAGCUCCCAUCAUCCCCCGGGGCUAGCAGGUGGAAGCGCUCCUCCCCCUUCCCCCUCUGGUGACCCGGGAGCGUUUGAAAGUUUGUCGUCUCUGGCCACAUCUAAGUUAGACCUGUCAAAACCAGUUUGUGUUGCCAGGUAUCCUUGGUUGUAUGGCCUUCAGCUGGAGCAUGAUCAACUUAACAGAGCUGGCCGGCGGUCCUGAAGACAACAUGAAGACAGUGGCAGAAAAGAGAUGAACCCAGGAGCAACUGCCCCAAUGCUGACUUGCAAACAGACAGGCAGCGUUGCUGUGCCACGCCAUGGGCAGCAGAGGUUCACCACUGUGCAUGUUUGGAUUACUGCUGGGGUAUGUUUCUAAGGCAAGAAUCUGACUUGCAAACUUCAACGUAGCUCAUAAAGAAAAUGGAAUUCUAACAUUUUAAUUUCAGAAGGCUCGAGACUUCAAGACAUCCUCUUUCUAGUGAAAUAUGUCAUCUCAAUAUUCUUUAAAAUACUUCCUUUGCCCUUAAAUUCCAGAUGUAAAUACAAUAGGGAUGAGCUGAUUUAUAGUCAAACUGUGUAUUCCCACUACAAAUGAACUGUUUCAUUUGAUUUUUUUUUGCAUUAUUGUAUUUUCUAGGUUGCUACAUAUUAAUUAAAACAUCAGUUUUCUGGAUAAAAAUGUUUUAGGUCAUGAGAGUUGAAAGAAAGUUAAAAUGCACAAAUUAUUUUGCAAGUGUCUUAAUUAUGGUCCAAAAGAUUAUGGUGAUUUUUGAUCCUUCAGAGGACAAUGAGAAACAAUUUUACCACCAUUAUAUACAUAAAACAUGUACAAAUUGCCAGGCGGUGGUGGCUCACGCCUUUUAUCCCAGCACUUGAGAGGCAGAGGCAGGGGGAUC